GCUUAGAAGAAAUAGCUGCACAUUCUUCUCAUGUCGCAUCUUUUCCCGAGCUGGGUACGAGAGCCUCUAGACAGAAACUGUGUUUCUUGUUUGGCUCCCCAUCAGGCUACACAGUCCUCUGUAGUUUUUUAAUUGUUCUUUUUAUGUUUUUGCUAAUUUGAUUGUGUGUGCAUUUAUUUGAUGACUGCCUCAGAAAUACGAUAAAUGCUACAAAUAUAGGUUUCAAUGACAGAUGAGAGAUUUGACAACACAUCUGAGAAGACUCCCUGCAUUAGGCCAUAGGUCUACCCUUGAAAUGCCUAUAUGAGUGCUUCUGGCUAAUAAGUUGUGACUCCACAAAUGGAAAAUUACUGCACUCAGCUGACACUCGUGUUCGAUUGAGCCGCAGGGAUAGGCUUGUUCGUGAUAUAUUUCAUCAGGAGUGGCUGCAGCAAGAACUCCAUUCAUACCAUCUAUGGUUUUAUGAAAUAGAUUUGUUAUCUAAUUGUUGUUAUGUUAUUAUGCACAUUUUUGUUUUGGGGUUUCAAAGACAGUGUAUACACUUUUAAUAAUUGUUCGGUGCAUCUUAAUUUCAUACAACCUGUGAAAAUGUUUGCUCAAUUGGCCAUUAAAGUUGCAAAUAAAUAAUUAAAGAAGAAAAACCCUUGUUGAAUAGAACUGUAGGCUUUCAGAUGCAUGGGAAAGGUUUCAUGCCUGAAGCUUUUACUCAGAUUUAAAUAUUUGAGUGAGAAAUCACCUCUUUCUCAAAAACUUGUUACU